AGGGAUGUGGCUCAGUGAUAGAGCUCUUGCCUUGCAUACAUAAGGCUCUGGGUUCAAUCCUCAGCAUCACAA
rnacentral:tRNA from 1 species